rnacentral:rRNA from 1 species
AAAAAAAAAAGUGGAAAUCAAGGGAGGAUAAACAGUCUGAUAAUUCAUUUGAAUACUGUUUCGCACUCCCGGGGCGUCUCAUUCUCAUUGUGAGAAGAGGCGCACCAAGAGCGUACACGCUGGGACCCGAAAGAUGGUGAACUAUGCCUGGUCAGGACGAAGUCAGGGGAAACCCUGAUGGAGGUCCGUAGCGAUUYUGACGUGCAAAUCGAUCGUCGGAACUGGGUAUAGGGGCGAAAGACUAAUCGAACCAUCUAGUAGCUGGUUCCCUCCGAAGUUUCCCUCAGGAUAGCUGGUGCUCAUCAUACACGAGUUUCAUCCGGUAAAGCGAAUGAUUAGAGGCAUUGGGGUCGAAACGACCUCAACCUAUUUUCAAACUUUAAAUGGGUGAGAUCUCCGGCUUGCUUAAAUAUUUUGGAAAUUUCAAUUUUCAUUAUAUGAAGCCGUGAGAUAAUUUAAAAUCGGAUCAGAGUACCAAGUGGGCCAUUUUUGGUAAGCAGAACUGGUGCUGUGGGAUGAACCAAACGUUGAGUUAAAGCGCCUAAAUCGACGCUUAUGGGAUACC